rnacentral:rRNA from 1 species
GGCCUCUGGGCUGUAAACCUCUUUUAUCAAGGAAGAAGAUCUGACGGUACUUGAUGAAUAAGCCACGGCUAAUUCCGUGCCAGCAGCCGCGGUAAUACGGGAGUGGCAAGCGUUAUCCGGAAUUAUUGGGCGUAAAGCGUCCGCAGGCGGCCCUUCAAGUCUGCUGUUAAAAAGUGGAGCUUAACUCCAUCAUGGCAGUGGAAACUGUUGGGCUUGAGUGUGGUAGGGGCAGAGGGAAUUCCCGGUGUAGCGGUGAAAUGCGUAGAUAUCGGGAAGAACACCAGUGGCGAAGGCGCUCUGCUGGGCCAUCACUGACGCUCAUGGACGAAAGCCAGGGGAGCGAAAGGGAUUAGAUACCCCUGUAGUCCUGGCCGUAAACGAUGAACACUAGGUGUCGGGGGAAUCGACCCCUCCGGUGUCGUAGCCAACGCGUUAAGUGUUCCGCCUGGGGAGUACGCACGCAAGUGUGAAACUCAAAGGAAUUGACGGGGGCCCGCACAAGCGGUGGAGUAUGUGGUUUAAUUCGAUGCAACGCGAAGAACCUUACCAGGGUUUGACAUCCUGCGAAUCUCUUGGAAACUUGAGAGUGCCUUCGGGAACGCAGUGACAGGUGGUGCAUGGCUGUCGUCAGCUCGUGUCGUGAGAUGUUGGGUUAAGUCCCGCAACGAGCGCAACCCACGUCUUUAGUUGCCAGCAUUUAGUUGGGCACUCUAGAGAGACCGCCGGUGAUAAACCGGAGGAAGGUGUGGAUGACGUCAAGUCAUCAUGCCCCUUACAUCCUGGGCUACACACGUACUACAAUGCUACGGACAAAGGGCAGCAAGUUCGCGAGGACAAGCAAAUCCCAUAAACCGUGGCUCAGUUCAGAUCGUAGGCUGCAACUCGCCUACGUGAAGGAGGAAUCGCUAGUAAUCGCAGGUCAGCAUACUGCGGUGA